rnacentral:lncRNA from 1 species
GGAAUAAAAGGGAAUUAUGACAUGUCACACAUGUCAUGUGUCCUUAAGGGGUUAAAAGAGGGGAGUGGUUAUAUGGCUAAUACGAACUUAUUUAUAAACUCUUUAACCUCUGAUGAAAUAGCAGAAGCCCAGGUACCCCAUGAUUGUGCUGCCUUGAUGGCACAAGAAACUGCAGAAACUGUUGUUGAUGGCACAAGAAACUGCAGAAACUGUUGUUGAUAUGCCAUUAUCUAAUCCAGAUUUUUAGUAUUUUGUAGAUGGGUCUCGGUUUGCUGAUGAGAAGGGUAACUUCCAUACUGGAUAUGCUGUAAUCUCUGUACAUGAGGUAAUUAAAGCAGAACCACUUGCUCCUCGCUGCUCUGCAUAAGAAGCUGAGUUGAAGGCUCUCACUGAAGUGGGUAAAUUGGCCUCAGGUAAGACCAUUAAUGUUUAUACCGAUUCCCGCUAUGCCUGUGUUUGCCCAUGGACCUACACAACAAUCAAAAAUGAAUAUGAUAAGCUUGGUAAAUGCACAUUGGAUUGUUCCAGGUUUCACUGUAGCUGCUACAAAACAUACCCAAAGCUGCAUGAUUUGUGCAAGAUACAUUGUAGGUCAGGUAACCCAGUCUAAACAUAUGCCAAGGUCACUUUACCCAUUUCAGAGAUAGGAGUGUAUGUGUUGGUGUGUAUUUAUCUCUUUUCAGGUUGGCCUGAAGCAUACCCAUUAUUGAAGGCCAAAGUAAAAUCAACAGCAAGUAAGCUACUAAAGGAAUUUCAGUAGCCAUUUUACUGGUGAAAUAAUGCAAGAGAUUAUGCAAGCCCUAGGAAUUAUUCAGGCAUUCACACCCCAAACCACCCUCAAAGUAGUGGCAAGGUAGAAAGGGCAAAUUGUACUUGUACUGAAAAAUAAAAUAGCUAAAGCUAUGCAAGAGACUGGCAAACUUUGUACGGAGUGUCUGCCUCUAGUAUUAUUUUCUAUGAGAUUCACACCACAUCCUAGAACUCAAAUUCGUAAAAAGAGAGAAUGGUAUGACACUCUCCUAGGAGCUUCCUAAAUGCUGUAGACCUAGAAGUAGUGAGAAACAAGAUAGCUGGGGCUGGCAAGGAUGUGGAUAGCACCCUACAGCUUGAAGCACAAUGGAUGCCCUCCAUGUUUCUCCCACAAGAAUAUACUUUACAAACUAAACUUAUUAAUCUUAAGGCAGCUCAAUCUCGACCUAGUUCGACACUUAUUUACCAGCUCAUGCCUGGAUCAAAUUAGAUACUGAAUCCCAGGUGUGUAAUCAGACAAGUUGUACAGGCAAAUUCAAAGCUUAUGACAUGAAGCAAUAUAAGAUAAGAUGUGUAAAUUUCUGGUACUACCUGUCAUUUUUGUUCCACCCUUAUAUCCAGCCCAAUAUUGGACUCCUACAUUUUCAGGUGACCUGAUAGACACUAAAAACAUUACCCACCGUAGCUCAAAUUGCAUACAGUCUUCACUGGGACUAAUAUGCGGCCAAUCCUCCAAGAUUGAAGAACCAUGUAUGCUACAACAUUCUGUAAAUGUGUGUGACUGGACAGUUACUACAGGACCACUAGAUAUGUAUAUGGAAAUUGCACCUUUAUAUAUUAUCAUUAUAAGCUCUUAACCAGAUACCACAUAUAUGUGUCACGGUUCGCACCGUGCCAUAGAGACAGCCAGGCAUGGCCAGGUGGCUCUAGGGGGAUUUUAACUGUAGUCCUUUUGUACUUUGGUGCUGCUGUAUUGCCUCUGAGUCACACUUCAGCUCAUUAUUCAGCCUAAUUGUCUAUAUUGCCUUGACCUGUCUGCAGAAUUGAGGGCUGGUAUCUGGUUAUAUGCUUAGCCAGACUCACCUGUCUAGAUUAGCCAGCUGUCACUCAGGAUUACCUAGAACACCCCGCUUGUUAGUAACUUGUUAACAGGGUAUUGAAUCUCCACCUUUUUCAGUAAUCAUUGUCAGUUCCUUGUUUCUGGUUGAAGUAUGAUUCCUGUUAUUUUGUCUCCUGAGCUUGUAUUCUCCAGACUGACCCUGGCUUCUGAUUUUGGCUCCUCUCCUCGUUAUUUCUGACCUCUGGCAUCCUCUGACCACGGCUACACCUUGACUAUCCUUUUGCUUGUGCCCUUGCCUGUACUACGAAUUGGAGCACUUUUCCUGUCAAGGCCACGGAUUCACAGCCCAGGUGGCUUCUUACCUGGUUACCGUGGGCUUUGUUUAUCUGCAAGGGUGAGCGUACAUCUCUGCACUUCGGACUCCCACCUCCAGGUAAGACCCUGACAAUAUGCUAAAUGUCUCUACCCUGUUUGUGGGAUGCUUCAGGAACCUCACCAUGCAUAAGGGGUUCAACACAACCAUUAACUUCAUCCCAGAUGCCAAACUUACCAUCACUUCCACUUGGCAUCCCCAAGCUCUGGACUUUAAACCACAAUCUGUUUCCCUUCAACCUCUCAUUGACAUUAUUAAUGACACCCAUCAUAUGGCAAGACAUCUAAAUAUCAUGAAUCAAUCUCUACAUGAAACAAAGAAACUAACAAUUAUAGUUCCUAUAAAACUUCACAGUAUUGGAAAUAACAUGGGGUGUUGGUUAAUGAAGACCAGAAAAAGGCAGACAUUUAAAAUAACUAUUUCUCCUCUGUAUAUAUUAAGGAAGAGAUAUGCAAAUGAUUGCAGGAAAAAAAAAAAAAGGAGAAAAAUUUUAAUUGGCUAACUCAAGACAAAGUGCUGCAGCAACUAAUUAAAGUAAAUAUAAACAAAGCUCCAGGUGCCGGACGGUAUUCAGCCACGAGUUCUUAAGAAAUUAAGUGUGGAAAUAAGUGAACCUCUUGUUUUUAAUCUUUCGAUUUUCAGCCAAUCGGAUUUGUAAAGGGCUUAUUUAAGCACAAUUUUACUUUUCCUCCUUGCCCUGUUGUGGUUUCCCUGGUGGUUGUCCGAGAGUGUGUUUCUGAGCAUUUAUUUUCUGGUUAUUGACAUUGGCUUUGUUUAACUUCCCUGUAUUCUGGUAUCCCUGACUUUUGGCUUUCCCUCAUCGUGGUGUCUCCUUCUGUGUCCCUGACCUCGGCUAGUAUACUGACUAUUCUUGGGUAUGUUUAGUCCAGCCAUUCUGAGGCCCAGUAAGACGUUACCUUUCAGUCCUGGACUGAAAAGGUGUGACAUAAUUCUACGUGCUGGAUCAACUAGUAAUCCUGACAGUUCCGGUGGAUUGGAGGAAGGCGGAUGUGGUUCCUAUAUUCAAAAAGGGUUCAAAUCAUUGCCUGGAAAUUACAGACAUGUGAGCUUAACUUAUGUGGCUGAAAAAGUAUUUAAAAGGUUAUUAAGGGAUAAUAUUCAAAAAUUCCUUGAGAAGAACAUGGUUAUCAGCAAAAACAGCAUGGUUUUAUGAAGCACAGGUCAUAUCAAACUAACCUGAUUGCAUUACGAAGAAGUAAGUAGAAGUAUAGAGCAGGGUGUUGCAAUGGAUGUGGUCUAUUUGGAUUUUGCCAAGGCGUUUGAUACAGUUCCACAAAAUAGGUUAGUGUUCAAACUCCUAACCCUACUCCUUAACCAACCCUAACCCUACCCCUAACCCAACCCUACCCCUAAACCCUACUCCAAAUGCUAACCCUACUCCUAACCCUACCAGUAACACUACUCCUAACCCUACCCCAACAAGUCACUUUUCAGAAUUCCGAAGCACUUCGGCACUUCAGCAAUUCGGUUCGGCACUUCUGAAAUUUGGCACAUCGACACUUGGGAAAUUCGGCAUUCCAAAAUUCGGCACUUCGGCCAUUCAUAAGCAUCUGAAUGUCCGAAAUUCGGCCAAAUUUCAAUUCGGGCUGAACCGAAUUACACAUGUCUAGAAAUCAGCCUAUAUGUAAAUUCUUGCUUUUGGGUAGAACAUUGGCUUAAAAAUAGAAUACAGAGAUUUGUCAUAAAUGGUGCAUUUUUCAAGCUGGACAGAGGUGGCAUGUGGUGUCCCUCAGGGUUCUGUUUUGGGACUUCUUUUUAACAUGUUUAAAUGAUCUUAAAAAAAGCAUUGAAAGUCAUGUUUCAGUGUUUACAGAUGACACCAAACUCUGUAAAGUAAUGCAGAGGGAUUUGGAUAGAUUGGGGGACUGGGCACUAAAAUGGCAGAUGAAAUUUAACAUAGAGAAAUGCAAAGUACAAGCAACUUACACACUAAAUGGUAGUGAAUUAGGGAUAACCACAAACGAGAAGGAUUUGGGAAUUGUUAUAGAUAACAAAUUAGGCAGCAAUAUGCAAUGUCAAUCUGCAGUUGCUAAGGCCAAUAAGAUUUUUGUCAUGUAUAAAUAGGGGCAUAAAUUUUCGGGAUGAAAAUAAUACAAUGUGAGCAAGAUAUUACUUUGCUGCAGAGGGAUUUAGAUACACUGGGGGACUGGGCACUCAAAUGGCAGAUGAAAUUUAAUGUAGAAAAAUGCAAAGUUAUGCACUUCGGUGUCAAGAGUGCACAAGCAACGUUUACCCUUAAAGGAAGAAAAUUAGAGCUAACCACACACGAGAAGGACUUGUGCAAUGUCAAUCAGCAGUAGCUAAAGUCAGUAAGAUAUUGUCAUGCAUGAAAAAGGGUAUUACUUCUCGGGAUGAGAAUAUAAUUUUGCCUCUUUAUAAAUCACUGGUAAGACCACAUCUUGAAUAUGCUGUGCAAUUUUGGGCACCUGUUCUAAAGAAGGAUAUUAUGGCACUAGAAAGAGUGCAAAGGCGGCCCACAAAAUUAAUAAAAGGAAUGGAACAUUUUAGCUAUAAAGAAAGGUUAAAAAAAUGUAAACCUCUUCAGUUUAGAAAAAAGUCGCCUGAGAGGGGAUAUGAUAACAUUAUACAAAUAUAUUCUUGGGGUAGGGUGAGGUCCUCACUGGAGCAAAUAUGCAGGGUGCCAGGCAGAAAUAAGUAAAAUAAUUAAAGGAAAUGUGGCACAAAUUUAUGUAAAAAAAAAUAGCCAAUAUUCCUUUUAUUAACAAAAAAACUAAUUUAAAAAUUCGCCUGGCAAACAAAGGUUUAUAUAGGAAGUAACAUUCAUUGCAAUUUAGAAUUUUGAUGCCAAAAUGACGCCAUCAGAACGAGACGAUCAAAUAAAAUUUCAAUUGUAUAAAAACAUCUUUCACUAAUAUGUACUGUAAGGGCAUAUGGCAAAGAUGUGUAAAAUAUAAAUAACAAAACAAAGCUGUAAACUAGUUAAAAAGCUAGGCUGAAAGUGAAUCACAUGACGCGCAACUGCUGUUCCGCGUCAGGUGACUUGUGCUGUAAUUUAUGGGAAAUGUAGGCUGGCACUGUAGUGUGUGCUUCUAUAUUGAAAUCGUGCGCCGCGACGCAUCAUUGCACAUUGUGCUUGCACACUUACACAUGCGCCGCGGCACGUAUUUGUGCAUCACGCAUGCACCAGCACUGCAUGCGGUUGUGAUAUCAGCAAACUGAAUGCCCAUAUUAAGGGGGGUCCAGAGACUGGGACGUUACGUAUUUGGCCAAUGGAGGGUUUGGGAAAAUAUUAACAGCCAUAUUGUUGGAGACUUUUAGGAGUUGGAGAUAAGGUGAAAUACAAAUAGAAAAAUAAAUAAACAAACAGUGAAAAACUGUUUAAAGAGAAUUAACUAAUGAUAAUACUAUGACCAUAUUAGUUAAAAUCCCAAAUUGAGAGGGGAUUUUACAUUAACAAAAAAAGAAAAUAGUAAAAAUGUGUAAUAAAGAAACAAAAAUGAAAGUAUAUAUAAAAAUAAAAAUAAUAUAAAUUAAAAAAAAUAUAUAUAUAUAUAUAUAUAUAUAUAUAUAUAUAUAAAUAAACAUGAAAAAUAACAAUAAAAUAAAUGAAAUUAAAAGAAAAGAAAAGAUGGAUGUACAAAACAGAUCUGGAAAAUGACUCUGGGUUAGAUGUAUUAAUAUGAUUAACAUAAUUCUGAAGAUAUAUAUUAUAAAAAAUGUAAAAAGGUAGAAUUCAAAUUCUAUAUAAAGGCUUUCUGGGACAAGGGUUUUUAAAUUAAAUACCCAUUCCAUUUGUUUACUCCCUAAGAUUUUUUUGAUGUCACCACCUCUCUGUGGAAUUUUACAUUUAUGGAUACUGAUACACUUUAAGAGUUUCGGAUUUUUAUUGUGUGUGACAAAAUGUUUAGACACAGAGUGAUUUUCAUAGCCUUUGGUGAUGUUACGGCAGUGUUCAGCUAAUCUUAUUUUUAAACAUCUGGAGGCCAAAAGGUAUAUGAAUUUUUUUUGUAUUGCAUCCAAUGAAAUCAGUUUAGAUGUAUUUUAGAUGUAUAGUGCAUGGUUUGACUAUUUUGUGCAAUCAGGGUCAGUGCUGCACAACCCUUGUCAUGAGGAAUGAUCGUGUACAAGGAUUGAACAUUGCAGGUGACUAAAAUAUAAUUUGGUUGCCAAAUUAACGUAUUUAACCCCUUAAGUAAAAAGAACGUAUCAGGUAUAUCCGACAAGAAACGGUCCUUAAAGGACCACUCUAGGCACCCAGACCACUUCAGCUUAAUGAAGUGGUCUGGGUGCCAGGUCCUUCUAGGGUUAACCCAUUUUUUUUAUAAACAUAGCAGUUUCAGAGAAACUGCUAUGUUUAUGAAUGGGUUAAGCCUUCCCCUAAUCCUCUAGUGGCUGUCUCAUUGACAGCCACUAGAGGCGCUUGCGUGCUUCUCACUGUGAUUUUCACAGUGAGAGCACGCCAGCGUCCAUAGGAAAGCAUUGUAAAUGCUUUCCUAUGCGACCAGCUGAAUGCGCGCGCAGCUCUUGCCGCGCGUGCGCAUUCAGCCGACGGGGCGGAACGGAGGAGGAGAGAAGGAGGAGAGCUCUCCGCCCAGCGCUGGAAAAAGGUAAGUUUAAACCCCUUUCCCCUUUCCAGAGCCGGGCGGGAGGGGGACCCUGAGGGUGGGGGCACCCUCAGGGCACUGUAGUGCCAGGAAAACGAGUAUGUUUUCCUGGCACUAUAGUGGUCCUUUAAGGACCGUGGAUGUACCGGAUACGUCCACGGGGAAUUAGAGCGCCAGAAGCGAUCAGGAACACUUCCAGCAGCUCUAAUGGUAUUGCAGCGAUGCCUUGAUGUCUAGGCAUCGCUGCAAUACCCCCUCACUGCCGAUGGCUACCGGAGAACACCGGGUGAUCACUCCCCCCGGAGUGAUCACUUCUGGGUUGCUCCACAUGGAGCCCGGCAGUGACGCAGAGCAUCGGAAGACAUCAGUCUGGCUUCCGAUGCUCUGCCUAUGCUGAGUGCCUCGAGGGGUCGAAGCACUCAGUAAAUAUUUUUUUAAUUACAGAUUGCCACCGUUCCCCCGCCGGCGAUCUGUCUUCUUCUUAGGAGGGACUCUCUGGGCUGAGCCAAGAGAGUCCCCCCCUUUGCAAUUUAGGACCACAUGACCGCAAUAGGUGUCCGCAGUGCUGCCAGCAGGGGGGCUGCCGAACUAGACCCCUUGUAUUGGAAAAAAAUAAAAGGUAAUAAAUAAUAAUAAAAAAAUAAAUAUAUAUAUAUAUAUAUAUAUCUUAUAUAAAACGUCAUACUAAGUGUAUUUUUUAUUAAUAUAUACAUUAAACGUACACUUAGAGUAAAAUUACACACUUAUAUAUGUAAUAUAUAUAUAAGAACUAUAUAUAUUGUGUGUAUAUAUAUAUUUUUAAAAAUUAUUAAAAAUAAAUGAAAAGCUGUAAAAAUAAUUUAAAAAAAAUUAUAUAUAUGUAAUUUUAUUCUAACUGUAUUUUGAUAUAUAUAUAUAUAUAUAUAUAUAUAUAUAUAUAUAUAUAUAUAUAUAUAUAUAUCAAAAUACACUCCUGACACAAAAAUUGUCAUUAAGGACCGCAGACGUACCUAGUACGACCGCGGCAAAUAGGAGCCUUGGACUUACCCGGACCAGCGAUCACGGUCGGGGGGGACUGCCAGAGACCCCAGCAGUCCCCCUGCAGCAGCUCCGGCCACCCCGGUACUCCAGGGCCAUGUGAUCCCCAUGAUCACAUCGCCGCAAUAAGAGUCUAGGAGCUGCCGGGGAGCUCAGUCUGAGCUGUCAGACAGUCCCCAAGGCUGCUAAAAAAAAAAAACAACACACGAGGGUCGUGGCCACGGCACCGAUGAGACUGGCAGCUUGAGAGCCAAUCUCUGUCCGUGACAGAGGUUUAAUAAGCAAAACCUGGCGAUUAACUCAGCAAUGACGACAACAAAAACAACGCAACACUACGGGGACACCUCGACAUCCGAGAACCCCACAUCAAAGACCUCUCUGAGGAGAUUCUUCACAGAACACGCUGAACCGCAAACGCGCAGCAAAAUGGCGCCCGUGACUACCACACGAGGCAGUCAACCAUCCAGCCCGUCUGCCUCUGAGGACUCGGUAGAAGAUGCUGAUAUCAAAACAUUACUCACAGAACUGCCCUCGAAGAAAGACCUGGCUGACAUGUUCCAGAGACUGGAGAAUUCCUUCAGCGAAAAAUUACAAGCUGUAAAUGCAGACAUCCAGCAACUGGGAACCAGGGUACAGGCCCUAGAGGAUGCGGAGGAGCUCUCUGAAAGACAGUGGUCGGAGUGCCACACUACACAGAAGCUUCAUUCAGAAGCUUUAAUACAUCUGCAACGGAAACUGGACGAUGUGGAUAACCGGGGAAGGCGCAACAACUUGCGGGUAGGAAGAGUACCAGAAAGCCAGGAAGGCUCUACGGAAAACCCCAUACAGGUACUAACUACCCUCUUUAACCUCAUACUCGCUAGACCACCCGACACAGCGAUCCAAUUCGACAGGGCUCACAGAGCAGCACGGCCCAGAAACUCACCAUCGGACUGGCCCCGAGACCUUAUAUACCGCCUACACAACUUCCCCUUAAAAGAAGAAAUUUUCCACAAGGAAAGGCAGAAUAAGGACCUGAACCUUGAAGGCCAACCUGUAGCAGUAUAUCAGGAUCUCUCACCCACUACACUGCAGUCCAGAAGGGCGUUAAAACCCAUCACCACGGCACUCUUAGAGAAAAUAAUAAAAUUCAGCUGGAAUUACCCAUUUGCACUCUCAGUGGUGACCCUGAACGGACCGCACACCAUCACAACCCCAGCAGACAUUCCAAGCUUCCAACAGGCCCUGGGCCUACCCCUCACCGAAGUGGUAGAUUGGACAGGUCUAUCAUCUGGUGAUUACACUCAAAUGCAAAAAAGACCCAAAUGGCAGAGAACGCCGAGGAAGCGCAGACGGCAGAACCAAAUGGGAGCAGAAACACCCACUACACAGCAUGAACAGCCACACAUAUCCUUUGCUGUAUCUAAUUUAAAAGCUGAGGACUCUCACCACCUCAAGUUUUCUAGAUAAGUUUAAAAAUGUUUAGCUUAAAUAUUUAAACGAUGUUAUUGCCACAAAAUUAUUCUUGUUAUUUACCAACCGUCUCAUACAGCCCUCAAUAGUAUGAGUACAAGUAAUCGCUUAAGGUCAAAAGGGCAUAUGAAUGUGCGGGUCCGGGUAUAUUCAAAGGGAUACAGGGAUAGACCCAAGUACAGGGAAUUUUGAUUCAAGCCCCUGGUACCCCGAUUACCUUCUGUACCUCAAUCACGCACCCCUUGCCGCAGAAGAACUGUCACCAACCCCCACCAGAGAGGCGCUUACAACUACUUGGGGACACGACUGAGUCUCCCCUUCCCACCCUUCUCCCCAGAUACAAUCCCCGUAGCCCUGCACCAAUACCAUCGUUUCUCGAGUAAAAACGACUAUCUCUAUUAUGAUGGCAAAACUUAAAUGAAUGUCCCUGAACGUGAGGGGUCUAAACUCCACAGAGAAAAGAAGUACACUUACACAGGAAAUUGACAGGCAGAGAGCCAAUAUCAUAUUUAUCAAGGAAACGCACUACAGAGGCGAUUUCCAACCAAGGCUUAGAUCUCAAAAUAUCUAACAAUCAUACUAUAGUAACUAUAGCAACAGCAAAUCCAGAGGUGUGGCGAUAUUAGUAAAUUCCUGUGCAACCCUCAUUGAAACCAGUGUCAAGGUAGAUCCGGGAUUUUUAUUUGUUAAGGGGAAAUGACAGGGCUUAAUGAUCACUCUCGCAAACAUAUACACACCAAACUCAGACCAGGGCUCCUACGCCCGAACAUGUCUAACUAAACUAGAAAAGUUUGCGGAAGGAAUUGUGAUAGUGGGAGGUGACUGGAACAUGGUCCUCGACCACUCGAUGGACAGCUCCUCUAGUACUGCAGACAGCAGGCGCCAUCAGCGAACCAUUCUGGCAAAUGCGCUUCACUCCCAUCAAUUAAUGGACUGCUGGCGUCUGCUCCACCCGCAGGAUAGGGAUUAUACUUAUUAUUCCCCAGUGGUGAAAAGCUACUCAAGAAUUGAUAUGUUUCUCCUGAGCCACAGACACCUCCCCAUAAUGGAAGGGGCCAGCAUAGGUAACAUCACAUGGGCAGACCAUGCCCCUAUAUAUCUGACCAUAACUCUACGGGAUGCCCCCACACACACUUCACACUGGCGUCUCAAUGAGACCCUUCUAGGGUCCUAGAAGACAUGAAAAAGACUCUAAGUGACUAUUUCAUAGACAAUACCUCAGCAGACACAUCGGAUGCAUGGGUCUAGGAAGCUCAAAGGGGUCAUUAGAGGAGUCUUGAUAAAAUGGGGCUCUAGGAUUAAGAAGAAAGAACACUCAAACCGGACACCUUAUCGAACGCAAUACGAGCAAGAAACACUACACAAGAACAACCCUACCCAAAAUGCCUUUCAAAAGCUAAUGGCCCUUAGAAUGGAGAUUCGUUCUCUCCUGUCACUAAAAGCACAUAGAUCGCUCCAAGAAGCUCAUUUUAUACAUAUGGGAACAAGAGCGGGAAAUUACUGGCCCGUGCCUUGAAGGCCAAACUCAAAAAAUCAUUUAUAGCUGUAAGCAUAUGAAAUAGUUAACUUUUCUUGUUCAUAUGUAUUUUAUGCUUAGAUAAGGUUUAUAAUCAUUAGUGCUGACUGUAAGGACAUGAAAUGGUUAACUAUUUUUGCUUUAUAUGCUUUAAAAUAUUGUUUGAAAUAAUUAUGCUGACUUUGGCAGAUGUAUUUUGUACCAAGGUCUUUCGUCUACAGGAUGUAUGACAUUGCUUAACCUCAGGAUGUUCCUGUCCUGUCUUUAUUCAAAUGCUUAUCUUUUUAAUGUCAGACAAGUAUGUACUAUUAACUAUAAAGAAACGAUAAAUCUCACUGCUUGCGUGACAAAUUGUGUAUAAAUGCUAGCCCUGAAAAUACACUCAUUGAGAACUUGUUAAGCACUCUUUCGUGUCUGUGUCUUAAUUUGCUCACAAGAACUCCCAUCAAUUGAUGUGGUGACCGGAGGAUCGAGAAUCGAGAGGAGUUGAGUCCAGAACAGCAUUAACCCUUUCAGCUUGGUGUCAUGAAGUGG